rnacentral:rRNA from 2 species
ACGGAAGGCAGCAGUGGGGAAUAUUGCACAAUGGGGGAAACCCUGAUGCAGCGACGCCGCGUGAGUGAAGAAGUUAUUCGUAAUGUAAAGCUCUAUCAGCAGGGAAGAAAAUGACGGUACCUGACUAAGAAGCCCCGGCUAACUACGUGCCAGCAGCCGCGGUAAUACGUAGGGGGCAAGCGUUAUCCGGAUUUACUGGGUGUAAAGGGAGCGUAGACGGUCUAGCAAGUCUGAUGUGAAAGGCAGGGGCUCAACUCCUGGACUGCAUUGGAAACUGUUAGUCUUGAGUGUCGGAGAGGUAAGCGGAAUUCCUAGUGUAGCGGUGAAAUGCGUGGAUAUUAGGAGGAACACCAGUGGCGAAGGCGGCUUACUGGACGAUAACUGACGUUGAGGCUCGAAAGCGUGGGGAGCAAACAGGAUUAGAUACCCUGGUA